AAUUAAUUAAAGCUAUGAUUUUCCUUCUCGAAUUUUACCCUCUUAUCAUUUUCUUUUCACUUUUAUAACAAAACCGUUGCGUUAGCCAAAAAAUCGUUUUCUUUAAAGAGUUGGGAUAUGUACCCUUGGGCAAUGAUUCUUUGUAAAAGAUUAUCCAUGGCAACGAUGUUAUUUGCCUCAUUAUUUCCUCCCUACGAUACACCUCUGUUAUAUGGGUUUUCUAUUUUUUAUUUUUUCGAAAAUCUUCCUCUCCCAAAAUCUCCCAAAAAACCCUACUUUCAGCAAUUUCCCUCUCUUCAUCGGCUUUAGCUAUCAAUUCUUAAAAUUAUCUUACUGAAAAUGAAAUUUACUGCUACAUAAGUAUCUCUCCCUAAAAUAGUACCACAGUUUUACGGAGAAAUCGAGUGAAGAACAGCUCUUAGAUCUCUAGAUCUGCAUCGCCGUCGUAAGUCUCUCCGAUCUCUUUAGCAUGUACUAUUUUGCUGCAUUUAUCCCAUACUCGAAAUUAUAGAGUUCAUUUUGUUUGUGUGAGAAGAAAAUGAGGUCUCAGAUGUAUUAGAAGAAGAUAUCUAUACAUCUUUAAGAACAAUUUGAAUUUGAAUCUUUUUUUUCUAAAUUGGGAUCAGAAUCAGCAGCUAGAAUCAUUACUAUAGGUUGAUAGGGUUUUAAGAUGGUCUUGCAUUCAUUAUUCUUAGUAUUCGUGGCUAACCGUCAACCUAUUACUAUACCUUUCUUCUGUAUCUAACUUGAGAGAACCUACGGUACAUGCUUAGUAGUUAGUAGUAUGAGCAGAAAGUUUUGGUGUUCUUUGGUACUAAAUGGUUUGUUUAUUUUUCCACAUUGGUGCCUUUACCUUUGAGUUGAAAAAAGUGGUUUAAAUUUUGAGAUGUAUGCUGCAGUGCUUUGAAUUUAUUUAUUUAUUUAUUUUCUGUUGGAUCUGAUUGGAAUUCUAUCUGCAUUUAAUCAGGAUAAUGGAUGUGUUAACUGAUGAACAAACGCGUAUGGUGGUAGAAGAAAAAUGCAAUAUACAUAUUUUAUAAGAUCACUUUCACGUAAUAUAUAGGUUCUGACAUAAAUAUUUGUAUUGUGUUAUCAAGUCUUUUAAACAAAAAGUUUCAAGAAUGUAAACAAAUCAGACAUCACUAUUAUUUUUUUUGCCUCUCCAAUUAAGCUUGAACUCUUCUGCAGUAUUCUUUGGUACUUAUUUCUGUAGUUAAGCUUGAAACUUUUGUGCAGUAAUUCUUCUUCUUUUUGUAGUUAAGCAAGGAGAUCAAGGUGAGAGUUCUUUGAGUAAUAAACGGUUAUAUGAUUUUGAAGGUAAUUGCAUUAUAUAGAUCAAUCAUCUAGUAACUGCACUGAGUGUUUAAUUUGGUGGCCGUAAUAGUUCAAUCAUCCAUCAAGAUUCACCAUGUUUGGAAACCUUUUCAAUUUCAACUUUUGGCAAUUGACAAGUAAGUUGAUGCAGUGCUAAUUUUUGUUUGUUGAUUAUACCAACAUGAUAAGAUAUCCUAAUUAAGCAUGAAUUACUAGUAAAAAUAGAAUCAGAUUUUCUUUGUGUUACUUGGUUGAAGAUGUUUGUUACAACAGCUAAAAGUGAUGUUUGCUGGUGGAUGUUAAUACGAAUUGUAUUUUUGAUUGCUAGUGCUUUUUGUAUUUGACUGAGAGUAAAAUAUGAAGUUGUUGCCUUAUAAAGUUUGGUGCUUUUGUCACUACAAGAAAAUAGGCCUUUAGCGAGAGAAAAUCUGGUCGUUAAAAGUCCAAAUCCGGUCGUUAUAAGUUUAUAACGACCAGAAAAAAUCCGGUCGUCACCGGUCGUUAAAAGCCCCGACGUUAAAAGUUUAACGACCGGAUUAUAAUGCGGUCGUUAAAGAUCCUUUAGCGACGACAUAAUUUUCGGUCGUUAUACAUCCUUUUUAACGACCGGAUUUUUCCUUCACUAAAUUGUUAUCCAGUCGUUAAAAGUCUUUAAUGACAACAACUAAUUCAGUCAUUAGAAGUGCUUUUAGCGACCGAUAUUCCCUUCGUUAUUUGUAUUAAUUUUAAAAACCAAAUUUACCUUUAUUAAUGCCCAUUAAUCUGUUUGAGAAAUCUAUCAUUAAAGAGUUUCAAUGGCCAUAUUUUUCUUUGCUAAUGUAAAAUUGUACUAAAUAUAAGUACAAAAAUUUAAAUUAGAUGUAUAGAACUAAUUAUUUAUAUGCUUUCAUAAACACCCAACAAUACUCUAAAAUAAACCAAAUACUUGGUAUCUUUGUCAAUAUAAAGAACUAAAGUAUCAUAUUUACCAUAAAACAAUCUAAAUCGUAUGACAUCAUUUUUAAUAAUUCCUAAGAAGAGAAAAAUAAAAUUGCAGUAUAUGUACAGUGUUUUUAAACCAUCCCUAACAAAAUAUAAACCUCUUGUACUUCAACUUGCUCUAAACUUUCUUCAAGGAUAGGUUCUUCGGACUUCAAAUAUUUGAUCUGUUAAUAUAACAAAGGUAUGCCAGUUUAGUAACAAAGAAUAAACAACUAAAGAAGAAAUAUCAGAUCCAUUAAAUUAAAGGCUACACUUAAUGGCCAUAAACAAGAAUUGAAAUAAUACAACGAUCAGAUGACUUGUUCCAUAUAUUGCAGGUUGAUAGAUAUGAACAAUAGAGAAGAAGAAGCCAAAACUUAUCUAUUUGGAAAUCCAGGCUUUACUUGCUACAAUAUACAUGGUAGUAUAUAGUCAGUUGAAUAUGACAACCCCUAAAGGGGGCCAGAAUGAUAUUAAGUACAUUUAGUAUAAAAGAAAAAGUAAGCCAAUGAACUGGCACUAAGAAGAGUUAGACUCUGUCAAAGGCAUCAGAAUGAGUCAUAAUUGGCAACAAAGACAAGAACAAGUAGUAGAUGAACAAGAGGAAAAUAGAUAUCCACACAUGCAUAACCAACAGAUUCACAAUUAUCUUGUCCCCAUGUAUGCUCUCUGCGGGAGAUUGUCAUCAGUCUCCCUUUGCCAGCUUCCUCUAAUAGGAGUACAAUAUCAUAUUAUAGAGAUGAACCGUAAGGUUUUCCAUGGCAUCGAAACUGUCUAGAAAAUGUAUUUUAUGCAGAUUUAGAAAGAAAAUUGUGAUGGAGGGUUUCUGGAGAACAAAAUUUGUGGCUCACUAUCAUCACAUACCUUAUAAAAAAUGCCCAAAAUUAAUUGCUAGUAGAGAAACUAAAAGAGUUGAGAGGGAAGUGAUUGGCCUUGGUAACAAGGACUGAGCUUUGUGAACAAGAAACAUAGAGAGCAACCUCUAGAGAAAUCUUUGUACUUAUUCUUUUUAAUCUGCUAAGGUAGUAAUUGAAGUAGUCAAAGAGCUUCCUUUCAUUAAUUAUUAGAAAAUAGAGCUAGCUCAUCAAAAAUAAUUUUGCAAGAAUAUAACUAUCAAUUUUUAUUUUUUGCAAGAAUAUCUUUAGCAUAAGAAAGUGAAGCAUUCAUUAAAAUUUCAUUCACUGUAUGACGAGUUCAUUCAUUUGGACAACUUGUUAGACGUGUUGUCAUAAAUAUAAUUACCUAAUGCAAAGUAAAUACACAAAUAUAAGUAUAUAACAAUAACAAUGCCUCAAUCUCAAUCAAGUUGGGUAAACUUAUGAAAAGAUUCCUAGCAAAUAUUGAACCUAGACUAAUUGUAAUAAAAGGAUCUAAGACGUAAUCUCAACUUACUCCCACAUGUAUAGAUCUUUUCUUUAAAUUGUGCUAUAUUUUUUGCUAGGUUUGCAUGAAUUCCAAGAAAUUAUAGGUCUUUCGAGAUAACUCCUUAAACAUAUAAAUAGAAGACAAAUCCAAAACACUAUCCUUUUCAAUCUUCAAGAAAUUCAUAUGUAAACUAUGUUAGACCUUUAUUUGUCUUAACAUCCUCUUACCGAACGGGUGUGACAUUGGUUCACUUUAUGCAUAUUCUCCAAUAUAAAGAAAAAAUUGCACCUCCUUGAACUAGCUAACAAAAUGCUAUUUCAGUACCAAACCAGAAGCACCCAAUACGGCUCUAAUCAAAAGUGAAAUCCAACAACAUAUUAUUUUAGUGAACAAAGAUAUUCCAACUAAUUCAUUAUCAAGAUAUUCUCUUAAAGGGAAACUCUAAAACAAAUCCAGAGAAUCAACAAGAAAGCUUUACUUAAUUUUAAAUGAAUGGAUUCGUAAAGAAAUCAAUUAUCUAACCAAACAAUUUAUACCCCAAACUCGGCUUAUCCUUAACGGCUCAUUUUAAAGCUUGAUUCACAAUUAGUUAGAUAAAAUAGAACGGGAGUGAUAGAAGUCAUUGCUAGAAAAAUAAUAUAUACAGUACCAAACUCAACUUUUACUUGUCAUAUAUAACGCCAAGACCGGACGAAUAAGAACAGAUAGAUAGACUUCUAGUAUAUUGUAAUUACAAAGAAAUAUUUCCAACUGAAAUGAGGCAGCAGGGCCUUAGGAUUUGGGAACCUAUUCUACUGUCAUUGAAGGCACUACGCAUAAUCAGAAUGCCAGCUAAACUUUCUUAUUAAGGAAAAGGUUUCUCACAGGAGCCAAAAAUAAUUCCAUCACAGAAAGUUUUAUUUAUUGAAAAUAAGGAGGACCAGACAUUCCUUUUUUUAAAAUAUAUUUAUCUUAAUGGUGAUGGAAGAUUCUUAACCAGUAUCAUAGAAAGUAUAAGUACAUUAAACACUAACUAAAAAUAAAAUGGAACACAUGAAAUAUUAAGGAAACAAGAGAAAUUGCAUGAGACUUAUUAGGAUAGAUCUUUGAGAAGAAAAGGAACUCUUGAAGGAAACUAAAUGCUAUUAUAAAAGGCCCGCAGUUCUAACUCUAGUAGAAAAUCAAAACAAGUCUUGCAUAGCAAAGAACGAGACUAGAGGGGAUCUUCAGGAAAUGGUAAGAUAACACUUGCAAUGGCAAGCACUUUCUAUUUAGUGAAGUACAUACUGGAUUUUGCUUUGGAGUUUGGUGCAUAAAACAAGGAUAGAUAUUAUACUAUAUGUGGUUAUUCACUUUGUAUAUUACUUAACGGAAGUAUAUAGCAAAAUAGGAAAACCGAAGAUGUUGUUGUCAAGUUUAACAUGAGACCUUAAGUUUCUCUUACUCACUAACACAUGCAAAAAACACUAACUAUGCAUUAAAAGACAUAUUGAAAACUUUGUUGAUACCAGCUCUGAGCUCUCUAAGAUGAGAAUCAUUCAAGCACUUAUUUUUUCACUUUCUCAUAACUACCCCUUGCAGCUUUAUAUUCCGCAACUGCUCAAUCUUUCACUUUGAAAAACCAAAACUUGGAUCAUGGACUUCCUCACAUUCUAACUUGCAUUUUUCUCAUUUUUAGUAUUCAACCAGUUACCAAUCAUAGAGACGAUCAAUCAGUCCAGAUAAUAAUUUAAUAGCAAUUGAAUAAUCAGCAACUACACAGAUUUUGACUCCAAAAUUCAAGCGAGGAAAAAAGCGACUAAUUGAACUCGGAACCGUGAACUUCGUCCUCGAACAGUCACGUCCGAACCCGCAAAACACCAACCAAGCUCAAGCAAGAUCCAUGAACGAAGAUCAAUAGGGCAAAAACCAAAAUAUAUAUAUUUUUUAUUUUAUAUCUAUGUAUAUGAAAGAAACUUAACUCCAAAAUUAGAGGAGUAAUAUCCGAAAAUCAGAGAAGAAACUUAAAUCUUUGUAUAUCUCUUUCUGUAAUUUUUUUUCUGGAAUUUGAAAUGCGAACAGAAGGUCGAAGAAGAAAACCUAAAAGCAGAGAAGAAAUUUUGCACUUAAAACCCUAGCUUUUCACUCACUUUUUCUGUUUAAAACUUAAUAAUUGAAUUUGAACAGCCAUGGUUUAGAACUGGGAUUUUAUCUACACUAAAAUUGACAUAAAAGGGUACAAUUUCGAACCUUACCUUGAUGAGAAGAAACUCGAAGAUGAGCACUUCGCUGAAUUUUACUUCGCCGUUGCAUGAGAAAUAACAGUUGCGGUUUACAAAAUAAGUGUUCAUAACAGAGGAGUUGGAGAAGUCUCGGGGUGUUUUCCUUCUUUUUUGGGUGGUUGACGGAUCCAGUUACGGGUGGGAAGGGAAAAAAAAGAGGGAAAAGUUAGCGCCACUUUUUUAUUAUUUAAUAACGACAGGCUAUGUUAUAUUUUAAGGCCAGAAUAUUAAUUAUCCCCUAGUUAAUAUUGAGCUAAUAAUUAGUUUCAACGACAGGAAAAAAAUUUGGUUGCUAUAAGUACACUUAUAACGACCGGAUUUUAGUCCCUUCGUUAAGAAGUGGUCGUUAAAAAUCAAAUUUCUCGUAGUGUGUAUUACAAUGGGGUUUCUAAAUUAUGAAGUUCCGACCUUUUUCUUGUGACACUUUCCUACCAUAGUUAAUAUUGUCACAUGAGACCUAUACUCCUUAAAUCGAACCCAUUUGGAUAUUACUUCGCUAGUUGUAUGUGUAUCUUCUGGCUUGAUACUGUAUAGUUAAAUUGAUCAAAUCAAAAUCUAGGUUAAGAUUCUUUAUGUUGCUUUCCUUUCCAUGUGAGUUCUUUUUGAAUUAAUUGCUAUAUAACCAAAUAUGGUAUGAUCGUUUUUUAUGGCUUUGCAGGUGAAGCAAAUGAACAAGGGGUAGAUGAAACGUGUGAAGAUGAUCUUAAGAGUAUUAGUUGAUAGUUGCAAGGCCUUUAGAUGUUCUAGAAAUCUUUCUUAGAAAUUUUAGCAAAUUUAUGUAUAUUAACUCUUGAAUUUAGAAAUCCACUUCCAACCAAGAGUUUGUGAGUUCGAGUCACCCCAAGAAGAAUGUGGGGAGUUCUUGAAGAGAGGGAGCCGAGGGUCUAUCGGAAAUAGCCUCUCUACCCCAGGNN
rnacentral:lncRNA from 1 species